UACGGAGGGUGCGAGCGUUGUCCGGAAUCAUUGGGCGUAAAGGGCGCGUAGGUGGCGCGGUAAGCGUGCGGUGAAAGCCUGGGGCUCAACCCCGGGUCGGCCGUGCGAACUGCUGGGCUUGAGCACUGUAGAGGCAGGCGGAAUUCCGGGUGUAGCGGUGGAAUGCGUAGAGAUCCGGAAGAACACCGGUGGCGAAGGCGGCCUGCUGGGCAGUUGCUGACACUGAGGCGCGAAAGCCAGGGGAGCAAACGGG
rnacentral:rRNA from 1 species